GACGAACGCUGGCGGCGUGCUUAACACAUGCAAGUCGAACGGAAAGGCCUCAUUCGGGGGGUACUCGAGUGGCGAACGGGUGAGUAACUCGUGAGUAACCUGCCCUUGACUUUGGGAUAACUUCAGGAAACUGGGGCUAAUCCCGGAUAGGAGCUCCUGCUUCAUGGUGGGGGCUGGAGAGUUUCGGCGGUUGGGGGUGUACUCGCGGCUUAUCCGCUUGUUGGUGGGGUAGUGGCUUACCAAGGCUUUGACGGGUAGCCGGCCUGAGAGGGUGAGCGGCCACAGUGGGACUGAGAUGCGGCCCAGACUCCUACGGGAGGCAGCAGUGGGGAAUAUUGCACAAUGGGUGGAAGCCUGAUGCAGCAACGCCGUGUGCGGGAUGACGGCCUUCGGGUUGUAAACCGCUUUCGCUCAUGACGAAGCUUUGUGUGACGGUAGUGGGUAAAGAAGCACCGGCUAACUACGUG
rnacentral:rRNA from 1 species